ACACACACACACACACACACACACACACACACACACACACUGAAGGAAAAUAACAUUAAGUCAACCUUAACUAAAUAAAGGGCAGCUGGCGAAGACUGCCGGUUUGGACGCCCUGGGUGACAGAAAGACGAGGCAGUUAUCAGGUAAUGACAGUCUUACUCAUCAUCAGCUCUACAUUCAAUAGUGAAGCCUUGUGUGUGUGUGUGUGUGUGUGUGUGUGUGUGUGAAUGAGUACCACACACACAAAUACACAGGCCACAUGUUGACACGUUCUGAAUGAAACAGGAAACGGUGGAGUGAAUGACUAAAUAAACAAGGUUAUUCAUUUAUUGUUCAGGCAGCCAGAAGUGUGUGUGUGUGUGUGCGUGUCAGUCAUCGACACACACACACACACACACACACACACACACACACACUUUCUAUACAUAGUCUUAACCCUGGGCUGUAUUUAUGACUCACCCCUUUACAUCCCUGCCUUUAAACACACACAGAAAUGUACACAAUCUGUUGUUAAUUUCCCAGUUUUUCAUAUAUUAUAUUAUAUUUUCAUAAUAUUCUGUGUUCAUGCUGUUUUCAGAUCUGCGGAGUCUCAGGAAAUUAAAAAAUAUAUUGACUAAAUCUGAAGACUCCCUAGUGCUCUGUGCUGCCUUAAGUUGAGGCUACAAAGGGCUUUUUGUGUAUUUGUUGCUAGACAACCACACAAUCAGCUGAUGAUUAGCUGUCAGUCUUUCAAAACAGGUGUUGGGUGCAGCAGCUUGCAGAGUCUUAUUUCAUAUAAAAAUGUACACACUGAGUUAGUCGCUGCUAUGAUCCAUUGGUAACUACCACGUCAUGCUAGCUUGUCAGCAAGGGGGCUAAAUAACGCUCCAAAAUAAGGCAAAAUUUUGGCAAAGGAAAAAUUGACAUGGCCAUUUGAGGGAUGUUUGGCUUUAUACUGCCUCUGCACUAAAGAAAGUACUUGUACAAAGGUUUCUGGUCACUCAAUCCCUGACUGUAGACUAGACUGUAUUGUGUUCAUGUUAAAUAAAAAGUACAUUAAUUUCCAUUUUUUAUGUAAACAUUAAUAGUUGUAAUAACGCACCAGGUUAGGGGGUUCCUGGUACAAUAUACAGCAUUAGUUUUCUGAGAAAACGUAUUCGUAUCCAAACUAAAUUGGUAACUGAAAUAUUCCUAAUUGAAUCGAUACUGAAAUCGAAUUGAUAUUGAAUCGAAUAGAUAUGAAAUCAAAAUUAAAACAAAUUGGAAAUUGAAUUGAAAUUGGAAAAUCAGUGGCGAUACCCAGCCCUAGUUUCAAGUUUCAAUUAAAAACUUAUACCGUUGCAUGCCUAGUCCAUGAGGUGCUCAUAAACCAGUCAACAAAAAAAGUCACCCAAGAUAUUACAAUUCAUUUUGAGGGGAAACAUGAAUAUAUGCAUGAGGUUUCAUGGCAAUUAUUUUUUAUGCUCUGGGCCAUUGCCUGGAAAACUGUUGGCCAUAUUUAUGCACAUGAGCACAGUAGCAUUAGCAUUGAGAGUAUGGUCAUAUCAGGCUGCCAGGGUUCAUGCAGUCACAUAAAUUGUAUUACAUUGUCCAAAAUCAAACAUUAGCCUUUGAUGGGAUAUUGUCCCAGAGAGCAUUGCAGUAAGACACAUCCAAUCACAGGGCUAAAAGCUGGGUGAAGUUUAGAGGGUUUUUCGGGAGGGGGGCUUAAAGAGACAGGAGCUAAAACGGAGUGUUUCAGACAGAAGGAGAAUACAGGUAUAUUCAGACGGACAGUAUGAGAAAAAUAAAGUGUUUUUUGAACUUAAAGCAUGUAAACAUUUUUUAGUAGAAACCAAAAAUACAAG